GACGAACCGUGCGAACGUUGUUCGGAAUCACUGGGCUUAAAGGGCGCGUAGGCGGGUUCGCAAGUCUGUGGUGAAAGCCUCCAGCUUAACUGGAGAAGUGCCGUGGAUACUGCGAAUCUUGAGGAGGGUAGGGGCGUCUGGAACGGUCGGUGGAGCGGUGAAAUGCGUUGAUAUCGACCGGAACUCCGGUGGCGAAGGCGAGGCGCUGGACCCUUCUGACGCUGAGGCGCGAAAGCCAGGGGAG
rnacentral:rRNA from 1 species